rnacentral:hammerhead_ribozyme from 1 species
AGCCAGUUGACGUGUCCCAAUUAAGACGAAACGCGCGUUCUGGAU